GUCAUUCCGGAUUCGACUGCACCGCCCAGUUCUGCUUCAAACAGAUCAUUGGUUCUGCUCUUAUUCUUUGCCAUCUAGUCCUGAUUCCUGACUACAGGUCUUCAGGAUGACCAGGAACUACAGGACGGUUUGAGCUACACUCUGCAGGACGUUGGUCCUCCAUGACCAGGACUGGACACCACUGUCCUAAAUAAACCCAAGGAGAGGCGCUCAGGCACAGGUCACUUCAUCUUUUGCUGUAUAAAAAAGCGCACAAAAAGCGGCCCGGCCACAGCUUCCGAAGUGGAAACUCCUGUUAAAUCAUGGCUCCAUAAUGCAAGAGACUGGGAUGGUGGAAGGAGCAGAAGAACCAGAAGACUGGAGAUCAGGCAAAGAUCUACUGGUACC